rnacentral:rRNA from 1 species
UACGUAGGGGGCAAGCGUUAUCCGGAUUUACUGGGUGUAAAGGGAGCGUAGACGGCAAGGCAAGUCUGAAGUGAAAGCCCGGGGCUCAACUCCGGGACUGCUUUGGAAACUGUUUAGCUAGAGUGCAGGAGGGGCGAGUGGAAUUCCUAGUGUAGCGGUGAAAUGCGUAGAUAUUAGGAGGAACACCGGUGGCGAAGGCGGCCCGCUGGACUGUAACUGACGUUGAGGCUCGAAAGCGUGGGGAGCAAAC